AGGAACACCAGUGGCGAAGGCGGCCUACUGGGCACUAACUGACGCUGAGGCUCGAAAGCAUGGGUAGCAAACAGGAUUAGAUACCCUGGUAGUCCAUGCCGUAAACGAUGAUUACUAGGUGUGGGGAGAUUGACCCUCUCCGUGCCGCAGUUAACACAAUAAGUAAUCCACCUGGGGAGUACGACCGCAAGGUUGAAACUCAAAGGAAUUGACGGGGGCCCGCACAAGCAGUGGAGUAUGUGGUUUAAUUCGAAGCAACGCGAAGAACCUUACCAGGUCUUGACAUCCAACGACCGCUUAAGAGAUUAAGCUUUCCUUCGGGACGUUGAGACAGGUGGUGCAUGGUUGUCGUCAGCUCGUGUCGUGAGAUGUUGGGUUAAGUCCCGCAACGAGCGCAACCCUUAUCGUCAGUUACUACGCAAGAGGACUCUGGCGAGACUGCCGUUGACAAAACGGAGGAAGGUGGGGAUGACGUCAAAUCAUCAUGCCCUUUAUGACCUGGGCUACACACGUACUACAAUGGCUGUAAACAGAGAGAAGCGAAGCCGCGAGGCAGGGCAAACCUCAUAAACACAGUCUCAGUUCGGAUUGCAGGCUGCAACCCGCCUGCAUGAAGCCGGAAUUGCUAGUAAUCGCGGAUCAGCAUGCCGCGGUGAAUACGUUCCCGGGCCUUGUACACACCGCCCGUCACACCAUGAGAGCCGGGGGGACCCGAAGUCGGUAGUCUAACCGCAAGGAGGACGCCGCCGAAGGUAAAACUGGUGAUUGGGGUGAAGUCGUAACAAGGUAACCA
rnacentral:rRNA from 1 species